UAACGAGGAUUCCCUUAGUAACUGCGAGUGAAGCGGGAAGAGCUCAAAUUUGUAAUCUGGCGGUCUCUGGCCGUCCGAGUUGUAAUCUGUAGAGGCGUCGUCCGCGUCGGCCCGUGUACAAGUCUCCUGGAAUGGAGCGUCAUAGAGGGUGAGAAUCCCGUCCAUGACACGGACCACUGAUGCUCUGUGAGGUGCCCUCGAAGAGUCGCGUUGUUUGAGAAUGCAGCGCAAAAUGGGUGGUAAAUUCCAUCUAAGGCUAAAUAUUGGCGAGAGACCGAUAGCGAACAAGUACCGUGAGGGAAAGAUGAAAAGCACUUUGAAAAGAGAGUUAAACAGUACGUGAAAUUGUUGAAAGGGAAACGCUUGAGGCCAGUCACGUCCUGAGGCACUCAGCCUUGCUUCGGCUUGGUGUACUUGCCUCAGAACGGGUCAACGUCAAUUUUGGUCGGUAGACAAAGGUGAGGGGAAUGUAGUGUUGUUUCGGCGACAUGUUAUAGCCUCUCGUCGAAUACACCGGCUGGGAUUGAGGACCGCAGCACGCCCUUGUGGCUGGGGGUUUGCCCCACAUAACGUGCUUAGGAUGUUGGCAUAAUGGCUUUAAGCGACCCGUCUUGAAACACGGACCAAGGAGUCUAACAUGCUUGCGAGUGUUAGGGUGGAAAACCCUUGCGCGCAAUGAAAGUGAAAGUUGAGAGCCUUCGUAAGAGGGUGCACCGACGCCCGGCCCUGACGUUCUCUGAUGGUGCUGCGGUAGAGCAAGUAUGUUGGGACCCGAAAGAUGGUGAACUAUGCCUGAAUAGGGCGAAGCCAGAGGAAACUCUGGUGGAGGCUCGUAGCGAUUCUGACGUGCAAAUCGAUCGUCAAAUUUGGG
rnacentral:rRNA from 1 species